rnacentral:rRNA from 1 species
UAAGAUGGCUAUAUUAGACUGGCUGUACCUGAUCUUGUCUGAUUAGCCCAAGUUAACAGGAAUGGGCCCAACUAAUACUUCGAUGGGAGACUACCUGGGAAUCUUGGGGGCCAUAG